AUUCUCGAAGUCAUCAUGUAACCUCUGGAACACCUCGAUCUCUGUCGCGAAUGAUGGCCAGUCCAUCGGGUUUGUAGUCAUAUCCACUAAGUCUGAGCAAUCCGUCUCAUACCGUACCGAAGUGAUCCUUCUGUCUCUCAUACAUGAGGCUGCCCAAAGUAACCCUUCCAUCUCAGCAUACAAAGCUGAGAGGCUCCUGUUACACGCUCGUAAUCCGAAGUAUUUUAAUCCCAUUUGAUCCUUAAGACUCCACCCUAAGCCACU
rnacentral:lncRNA from 1 species